rnacentral:lncRNA from 1 species
CUCUCUGGAAAUUGUAUUUCUGAGAAAGGCACGUUCUGUUUAAACUGCCAGGUACCUGUUUGUACAAGUUAUUUUCGCAGAUUAGUCCCUCGACUUUAAAUGGUCGUAUCUUUUUACCCGUAACUCCAAAUGAGGUGAAUCCAAAGCCCACUUCUUCGUCUCGUCGAGCCCGUUCUGUUGGUCACCUUUUCACCAUGUUUUGACAUUCUAAAAAUGACUAUUUUGCCCUUACCCUUAUUCAGCCCCCUCCAAGAGAGAACGUUUUCUGGUGGUUCUUUCCGCAAGUUUCUCGCACUUUCUUCUGGCGAAUCCAUCUUUCCCAGGCAAGCCGCACCCUCCAUUUGCAUCACUGUAAUGCAGUGACAUGCUUUAAAUUAUUUGAAGUUGUUUAUAAUGUUGUGAUAGCUACUUGUGAUUUGUUCAUGGCAUUAUCUCGAAGUUGUUUUUGAACUUGUUACUGCCAUGAUAUUGCUUGGAGUUCUAGGACUAAUGUUUUGCAACUUAUGUGGAUGACAUGUUGCCUUUGGAUUAUUAGUGGAUUAUGUUGUGAUUAUUUUCAUGUUGAUAUCUGAUAGUAUAUUUCAGAGCAUUACUUUGGAUGUUAUCUUGCCUUUGGAUUAUUAGUGGCUAGUAUGAUUAUUUUCGGGAUGGUAGUUGGUAUGUUGCUUGGCAUUCUUAUUUUCGGUGAUGAUGCUUGCAUGUGGGUCUUAGCGGGAUAGCUAGUUCUUUCUAUUGUAGUAGUAUUAUCAUUCUUGGAUUUAUCAUGGUAGUAGUGUCAUGUUGCCCUCGAAGUAUUAUGUUAUGGCUAGGUUAUGCUUUGGAUUAGUUGUUGGAUAUUUCUAUGACUUGGAUUACAGGUUGACAGAUGAUAUUGGAGUAUCAGUUGUCAUAGAUAUGCUUUGGGGAUAAAUUCCGUCAUUAAGUUGGUCAGGUGCCUCCUAACCGGGCUUUUCCAAUGCAACCACACUUACCUUUAUGGGGGGUCUUGAUUCGGUCUUUUGUCAUGCCUCUCGCCGGUGCCUCCAACGAAGGAAGGUUAUGCGCGGGUGCUACUCUGAUCAGGUAGGACGGCAUAAGCCUUGUGUGUCCGUUGUUGUUUUAUGGAUCCUUGUCGGACCGUUUUGCCAUGACGGUGGCCGAAGAUGCCUUUGGUAGGCAUGAGCCACCCAUGACUUAGCCCUGAGAGGGAGUGAGUUGGAGUGGCCGGGAGAGUGUCAUGGCAAGGGAAGGGUUUCAUCGGAACUCUGUGGUCCACCUGAAUGGGAGUGCGAGGCCCUUGAGUUCUGUAGUGUGGGUAAAGUGCGCUAACCUCUGCAGUGUGUGUGUGUGUGUGUGUGUGUGUGUGUGUGUGUGUGUGUGUGUGUGUGUGUGUGUGUUUAAUCUAUCGAUAGCCGCGUCCUCGGUCAUGGGCAUAAGUUCGUGCUAGGUCACACCGUUCGAUCAACACUCAUGUGACGGAAUGAGUUUUAUAGGACUAAUAUGUGAUAUGAUGAGCUGUGGCAAUUUGUUAGGUUGUUGUUGAUGAUGUUGGGAUGAUCUUGAGAAUGAUCAUUCUAUUGGUGAUGUGGUCACAUGGUGAGCACGUGGAGGUAUUGAUCACGAGGUGAUCGAGAUGGUAUAUUGCUUGGCCGGUUAACCAUGCGUGAGAUGGUUAUUGAGAUCUGAGAUGGUGGUUUAUGAGUACUGCAGUAGUUUUAUAUCAUGCUUAGUAGUGGCUUUUGCAUCAUAGUAGUUGUUAAUUAAUUUGCUAAUGCUAUGUUGUUGUCUUGCCUUGAUGCUUUUGGUUGCCGUGAGCUUGCAAGUACAUUCAAUGUACUGACCUGGCGUGUCAUGCCAGAUUGCAGGUGAUGCAGUGAUUGAUUGAUUGCUUGUCGUGGUUUCCGCUCGUGCAAGCUAGAUCGUGUCCCAGCCAGAGUCCCUGCAGAGUGGAGUUCACCACUUUCGUCAUUGUUCCACUGCUAGAAGAUUUCCGCUGCUAUGAGUCGUUUCGCUGCUAGCAUAGAGCAAGUGUAGUAUCAUUGGCAUAGUGUCGCUGUGUUGAUGUGAUCCUCUGUAACAUCAGACACUUGUAUUAUUAUCCUUUGUAAUAAGAGAUAAUUUGUUCUAUGUCAAUAAGUACCGUAUUCCAGAAGACUUCUCCUCGAUCUCUUGGCUGGAAUACGGGGCGUUCCGGUUUCUUUGAGCUGGGGUGCCACACCUCAUCACUAAGAAAUUCUUCCAAGGUGUAGUUCUUGAACUCGGAGCCUUUAUCACUUCUUAUUGCCAAGAUUUCUUUGUCAAACUUACGUUGGGCUUGCUUGGCAAAAUCAAUGAAGGUGAUCUUCGUCUCGUCCUUGGACUUGAGGAAAAACACCCAUGUCUAUCUUGAGUAAUCAUCAACAAUGACAAGUCCAUACUUUUUCCGACCAAGAGUAUCCCAUGAAGGAGGCCCAAAGAGGUCCACAUGAAGGAGAUCCAAAGGCCUUGAAGUAGAUACAAUAUUCUUGGGCGGAUGCUUUGAUUUAUGUUACUUCCCGGCUAUGCAUGCACUACACACACAAUCUUUCUCAAAAGAGACAUUGGUUAGUCCAAGGAUGUGAUUACCAUUUAAGAGAUCUUGAAGAUUUCUCAUGUCGACAUGGGCUAGACGGUGAUGCCAUAGCCACCCCUUGCCGGCCUUGGCCAUCAGACAAGUUGCAUGGAAUGUGCUCUCUUUCAAGAAAUCAAUCAUGUAAAGGUUGCCUCCAACUCUCCAACAAAGGACACUUCGAGAGUAUCUCUCUUAAA